UGGGGAAUAUUGCACAAUGGGCGCAAGCCUGAUGCAGCCAUGCCGCGUGUGUGAAGAAGGCCUUCGGGUUGUAAAGCACUUUCAGCGGGGAGGAAGGCGUUAAGGUUAAUAACCUUGGCGAUUGACGUUACCCGCAGAAGAAGCACCGGCUAACUCCGUGCCAGCAGCCGCGGUAAUACGGAGGGUGCAAGCGUUAAUCGGAAUUACUGGGCGUAAAGCGCACGCAGGCGGUUUGUUAAGUCAGAUGUGAAAUCCCCGGGCUUAACCCGGGAAUUGCAUCUGAUACUGGUCAGCUAGAGUCUUGUAGAGGGGGGUAGAAUUCCAUGUGUAGCGGUGAAAUGCGUAGAGAUGUGGAGGAAUACCGGUGGCGAAGGCGGCCCCCUGGACAAAGACUGACGCUCAGGUGCGAAAGCGUGGGGAGCAAACAG
rnacentral:rRNA from 1 species